AGUGAACGCUGGCGGUAGGCCUAACACAUGCAAGUCGAACGGCAGCACAGUAAGAGCUUGCUCUUACGGGUGGCGAGUGGCGGACGGGUGCGGAAUACAUCGGAAUCUACUUUUUCGUGGGGGAUAACGUAGGGAAACUUACGCUAAUACCGCAUACGACCUACGGGUGAAAUCAGGGGAUCUUCGGACCUUGCGCGAUUGAAUGAGCCGAGGUCGGAUUAGCUAGUUGGCGGGGUAAAGGCCCACCAAGGCGACGAUCCGUAGCUGGUCUGAGAGGAUGAUCAGCCACACUGGAACUGAGACACGGUCCAGACUCCUACGGGAGGCAGCAGUGGGGAAUAUUGGACAAUGGGCGCAAGCCUGAUCCAGCCAUACCGCGUGGGUGAAGAAGGCCUUCGGGUUGUAAAGCCCUUUUGUUGGGAAAGAAAAGCAGCAGGUUAAUACCCCGCUGUUCUGACGGUACCCAAAGAAUAAGCACCGGCUAACUUCGUG
rnacentral:rRNA from 1 species